rnacentral:rRNA from 1 species
GACGAACCGUCCUAACGUUAUUCGGAAUUACUGGGCUUAAAGCGCGUGUAGGCGGGUUGGCGCGCUCGUCGCUGAAAUCCCACGGCUCAACCGUGGAACCGGCGUGGAUACGGCCAGCCUGGAGGGGUGUAGGGGGGACCUGGAACUUCCGGUGGAGCGGUGAAAUGCGUUGAGAUCGGAAGGAACGCCCGUGGCGAAAGCGAGGUCCUGGACACUUUCUGACGCUGAGACGCGAAAGCCAGGGGAGCAAACGGG